ACUCCUACGGGAGGCAGCAGUGGGAAUCUUGCGCAAUGCGCGAAAGCGUGACGCAGCAACGCCGCGUGCGGGAAGAAGGCCUUAGGGUUGUAAACCGCUUUCAGUUGGGACGAAGCUUCAGGGGUUAAUAGCCAGUUGGAGUGACGGUACCUUCAGAAGAAGCUCCGGCUAACUACGUGCCAGCAGCCGCGGUAAUACGUAGGGGGCGAGCGUUGUCCGGAAUUAUUGGGCGUAAAGAGCUCGUAGGUGGUUGGUCACGUCUGCUGUGGAAACGCAACGCUUAACGUUGCGCGUGCAGUGGGUACGGGCUGACUAGAGUGCAGUAGGGGAGUCUGGAAUUCCUGGUGUAGCGGUGAAAUGCGCAGAUAUCAGGAGGAACACCGGUGGCGAAGGCGGGACUCUGGGCUGUAACUGACACUGAGGAGCGAAAGCAUGGGGAGCGAACAGGAUUAGAUACCCCGGUAGGCUCUG
rnacentral:rRNA from 1 species